rnacentral:rRNA from 1 species
GGACUACAGGGGUAUCUAAUCCUGUUUGAUCCCCACGCUUUCGUGUAUGAGUGUCAGUAUAGGACCAGGUCGCCGCCUUCGCCACCGGUGUUCCUCCAGAUAUCUACGUAUUUCACCACUACACCUGGAAUUCCACGACCCUCUUCCAUACUCAAGUUUUGCAGUUUUGAAUGCACUUCCCGGGUUAAGCCCGGGGCUUUCACAUCCAACUUACAAAACCACCUGCACACGCUUUACGCCCAAUGAUUCCGAACAACGCUUGGACCCCCCGUCUUACCGCGGCUGCUGGCAC